CGUACCAUGCAGUCGAGCGGAACGAUGAUAGCUUGCUAUCAGGCGUCGAGCGGCGGACGGGUGAGUAAUGCUUAGGAAUCUGCCCAGUAGUGGGGGACAACAGUCGGAAACGGCUGCUAAUACCGCAUACGCCCUACGGGGGAAAGCAGGGGAUCUUCGGACCUUGCGCUAUUGGAUGAGCCUAAGUCGGAUUAGCUAGUUGGUGAGGUAAAGGCUCACCAAGGCCACGAUCCGUAGCUGGUUUGAGAGGAUGAUCAGCCACAUCGGGACUGAGACACGGCCCGAACUCCUACGGGAGGCAGCAGUGGGGAAUAUUGGACAAUGGGGGCAACCCUGAUCCAGCCAUGCCGCGUGUGUGAAGAAGGCUUUCGGGUUGUAAAGCACUUUCAGCGAGGAGGAAGGCUCUAAAGUUAAUACCUUUAGGGAUUGACGUUACUCGCAGAAGAAGCACCGGCUAACUCCGUGCCAGCAGCCGCGGUAAUACGGAGGGUGCAAGCGUUAAUCGGAAUUACUGGGCGUAAAGCGCGCGUAGGUGGUUGAGUAAGCGAGAUGUGAAAGCCCCGGGCUUAACCUGGGAACGGCAUUUCGAACUGCUCGGCUAGAGUGUGGUAGAGGGUAGUGGAAUUUCCUGUGUAGCGGUGAAAUGCGUAGAUAUAGGAAGGAACACCAGUGGCGAAGGCGGCUACCUGGACCAACACUGACACUGAGUGCGAAAGCGUGGGGAGCAAACAGGAUUAGAUACCCUGGUAGUCCACGCCGUAACGAUGUCAACUAGCCGUUGGGGAUCUUGAAUCCUUAGUGGCGCAGCUAACGCACUAAGUUGACCGCCUGGGGAGUACGGCCGCAAGUUAAACUCAAUGAAUUGACGGGGCCCGCACAGCGUGAGCAUGUGUUUAUUCGACGCACGCGAGACUUACUGCUGACAUGCAGAGACUUUCAGAGAUGAUGUG
rnacentral:rRNA from 1 species